UUUAGUUAUUAGCAUAUAUAGUUAUUCAGUUUGUGAAGCUCUAAUACACCUUGACAAUAACUUCUAUUUAAAGUGACAAAUGGUAAAACAGGAAAUAUUGAAUAUGUAGUGAUGCAUGGAAUCAGACAAUAUCAAGACAGGCCUUGACAAGAAUGACUAAAAAUGUUCUACAUGUACCAACCAAAUGGCAUCUAAACAGAAAUUUAAAGUACUUCAGUCAGGUGACGUGAACAGUCUAGACUUGAAAUCUGGAAGUGAUGGCUUCACAUCCCAUACAACCUGACCACAGCUGGCUGGUGUUACUUCUCAUGAUCAGACCACAGCAGACCCAAGUUCAACUCCUUGGCCAUAAUAAAAUACAUGUAAGCUUGUAAAUUAAAGAACCUGCAGGUCUGCCUACUGCCAGUUGGAACUUUUGACAAUAAUAAAUGUGUGUUCAUUUACAA